rnacentral:rRNA from 1 species
AAUCAACGCUGGCGGCGUGCCUCAGACAUGCAAGUCGAACGAUUAAAGCUCUCUUCGGAGAGUGUAUAGAGUGGCGCACGGGUGAGUAACACGUAAGUAAUCUACCUUUGAGUGGGGAAUAACCCGGGGAAACCCGAGCUAAUACCGCAUAAUGCAGCGGCACCGCAAGGUGACAGUUGUUAAAGGAGCAAUCCGCUUAAAGAGGAGCUUGCGGCAGAUUAGCUAGNGGUAAGGUAAUGGCUUACCAAGGCUUCGAUCUGUAUCCGGCCUGAGAGGGCGGUCGGACACACUGACACUGAAUAACGGGUCAGACUCCUACGGGAGGCAGCAGUCGGGUAAUUUGGGCAAUGGGCGAAAGCCUGACCCAGCAACGCCGCGUGAAGGAUGAAGUAUUUCGGUAUAGUAAACUUA